AGCAGCCCUCGUUGCAUUUGCCUUUCGUUGGAGCAGAACUUGUCAAAUCAGAUUCACAGGUUGGCUCCACAUCGGGUCCACAGGCUCGAUAGACGCGUCCAAAGCCGCAACUAAUAGCUGUUGGUGUAUUCCAUAAUGGUGUUUAUACGUAUACAAGCCUCCUGUUUAUAGAUGCAAAUAAAAUAAUCGUGCGUCUUCAUAUGAAUUUUUGGCUACUUAUUUUUAAAGCCAACUGGUUUGGGCCUUGCAGCUGACAGAAGUCAAGCGCAGCUAACAAAUGCUUAUCUUGGCUGUAUACUCUACCCAAAAUAAAAAGUUAAGACCGCUUGCUAAUGUUCUAACCCCUUAAUUGACUGGACGGGGAAAAACUGAUUAGCCAGCAAAAUCAAUUAGAAAUUAUAUUUACUUGGCUGUUAAUCAGUGUGCCUGCUCGUA